GACGAACGCUGGCGGCGUGCUUAACACAUGCAAGUCGAGCGGAAAGGCCCACUUGUGGGUACUCGAGCGGCGAACGGGUGAGUAACACGUGAGUAAUCUGCCUUUGGCUUCGGGAUAGCUCCGGGAAACCGGGAUUAAUACCGGAUAUGACGCCUUGCUGCAUGGUGGGGUGUGGAAAGUGUUUUCGGCCAGAGAUGUGCUCGCGGCCUAUCAGCUUGAUGGUGGGGUAAUGGCCUACCAUGGCUUCGACGGGUAGCCGGCCUGAGAGGGUGACCGGUCACACUGGGACCGAGACACGGCCCAGACUCCUACGGGAGGCAGCAGUGGGGAAUAUUGGACAAUGGGCGCAAGCCUGAUCCAGCAACGCCGCGUGAGGGAUGACGGCCUUCGGGUUGUAAACCUCUUUCAGCAUUGACGAAGCCGCUUCUUUGUGGGGUGGUGACGGUAGGUGCAGAAGAAGGACCGGCCAACUACGUGCCAGCAGCCGCCGUAACAC
rnacentral:rRNA from 1 species